UGCAGUCGUACGCUUCUUUUUCCACCGGAGCUUGCUCCACCGGAAAAAGAAGAGUGGCGAACGGGUGAGUAACACGUGGGUAACCUGCCCAUCAGAAGGGGAUAACACUUGGAAACAGGUGCUAAUACCGUAUAACAAUCGAAACCGCAUGGUUUUGAUUUGAAAGGCGCUUUCGGGUGUCGCUGAUGGAUGGACCCGCGGUGCAUUAGCUAGUUGGUGAGGUAACGGCUCACCAAGGCCACGAUGCAUAGCCGACCUGAGAGGGUGAUCGGCCACAUUGGGACUGAGACACGGCCCAAACUCCUACGGGAGGCAGCAGUAGGGAAUCUUCGGCAAUGGACGAAAGUCUGACCGAGCAACGCCCCGUGAGUGAAGAAGGUUUUCGGAUCGUAAAACUCUGUUGUUAGAGAAGAACAAGGAUGAGAGUAACUGUUCAUCCCUUGACGGUAUCUAACCAGAAAGCCACGGCUAACUACGUGCCAGCAGCCGCGGUAAUACGUAGGUGGCAAGCGUUGUCCGGAUUUAUUGGGCGUAAAGCGAGCGCAGGCGGUUUCUUAAGUCUGAUGUGAAAGCCCCCGGCUCAACCGGGGAGGGUCAUUGGAAACUGGGAGACUUGAGUGCAGAAGAGGAGAGUGGAAUUCCAUGUGUAGCGGUGAAAUGCGUAGAUAUAUGGAGGAACACCAGUGGGCGAAGGCGGCUCUCUGGUCUGUAACUGACGCUGAGGCUCGAAAGCGUGGGGAGCAAACGGGAUUAGAUACCCUGGUAGUCCACGCCGUAAA
rnacentral:rRNA from 1 species